GAUUAUGGUGGGACGUGCAGGGCAGCCGCAAGGCUGGCCGGGUUCGUUAGUGACCGGUAUUUCCACCCCUGUACGUCUCACCACCCUU
rnacentral:antisense_RNA from 16 species